rnacentral:rRNA from 1 species
GGUCGAUCCAUUUGGGAAAUGUUGUGUACUUCGGUAUGCAUCUCAAUUGGACCUGAUAUCAGGCAAGAUUACCCGCUGAACUUAAGCAUAUUAAUAAGCGGAGGAAAAGAAACUAACAAGGAUUCCCCCAGUAACGGCGAGUGAAGCGGCAACAGCUCAAAUUUGAAAUCUGGCUCUUUCAGAGUCCGAGUUGUAAUUUGCAGAGGGCGCUUUGGCGUUGGGAGCGGUCCAAGUUCUUUGGAACAGGACGUCACAGAGGGUGAGAAUCCCGUACGUGGUCGCUAUCCUUCGCCGUGUAAAG